GGGAAACAAACAUUACGUUUGAUAGACCAUAAUACAAUAAAAUACAAACAACUUUUCUUUUUAUUGAAUUAAAUAUAAUAUUUGAUUGCAUUACAUAAAUUAUGGUAUACCAAAUAAUCUUUUUCACGUGAAAACGUGAGAUAAUUUAUUUAUAGUUGCACCCAUACAUAAUAAUAAAUGAUUCAAAGGCAAACAUGAUGCAUAUAUGUAUCAGCCACCUCAUUGAGAAUCUGAGCUAGCUCAUUAGUCUUUGAAAGCAUCAACUUUUGAUCUCCACCUUCGAUCUUAUAAACCUUGUCUGGUUUGUAGUUUUCUAUCUGCCAACUGUGAAAGUAUGGUUUAAAUAUUUCGUCUGAGUCGGUAUACACAUAAAUUCUCUUAAUCGAUCCGUAUCCCUCCUUAGUGAAUUUUUCCCGUUUAGCUAAAAUACUUUGAAAUAAUGAUCCCUUCCUUAGCAACAUCGUUGCCAGCUUACAAUCCUCGGGAGUGCAAGCCGUAAAUACAUUCUCACUUAAAAACUUGAAGCCCAUUUUCCAUCCAGUUAUAGUCUCGGCCUUGUUAACGUACGUAAAAGGUACGGUGUCCUUUUUGGGAAUGGCCAUCAUAUGCUUAUCCAAAGCAUAAGAUGGGCUGUGAUCAGUGUCCGGCAUUACUGCAUUGACGAAAACAACAGCUGCAAUCUUUUCUGGGUAUUUAUCAGCAGCAAUAGCAACAUUAAUGCCUCCACAGCUCUCUCCUACCAAUAUCACCUUUUCUCCUUCUGGGAGUGAUGCCAUGAACGUCAAUAAGGGUUCAGAGUACUCAUCAAAGGAUCCAAUCUGCUCAAUUUGCCUUGGGUCAAUACCACUGGCUGCAAGGUCCAAUGCAGUGACCUUGUGGCCAGCUGC
rnacentral:misc_RNA from 1 species